UUCUCCUAGAGCAGGAUCUGUCUAGGACUCUGUGUGGAUGCAAGUAUAUGCUACUUGCUCCAGAAAACUCGUUGUAUACCAGAAGCCACAUUGUUCACAAAUGAAAAACUAGCCUGGAUGGAUUGAUUAGCUGAUAGGGGUUGGAAAUCACACUGGAUGCUGAUGAUAGGGACAAUAUCCAAAGAAAAUCCGUAGGAUGGCUCCAAUUU